rnacentral:rRNA from 1 species
UAAUACAUGCAAGUCGAACGCGUCUCCGUUAAUGAUUUUAGGUGCUUGCACUUGAAAGAUUUAACAUUGAGACGAGUGGCGAACUGGUGAGUAACACGUGGGUAACCUGCCCUUGAAGUAGGGGAUAACACUUGGAAACAGGUGCUAAUACCGUAUAACAACCAAAACCACCUGGUUUUGGUUUAAAAGACGGCUUCGGCUGUCACUUUAGGAUGGACCCGCGGCGUAUUAGCUUGUUGGUAAGGUAACGGCUUACCAAGGCGAUGAUACGUAGCCGACCUGAGAGGGUAAUCGGCCACAUUGGGACUGAGACACGGCCCAAACUCCUACGGGAGGCAGCAGUAGGGAAUCUUCCACAAUGGACGAAAGUCUGAUGGAGCAACGCCGCGUGAGUGAUGAAGGGUUUCGGCUCGUAAAACUCUGUUGUUGGAGAAGAACAGGUGUCAGAGUAACUGUUGACAUCUUGACGGUAUCCAACCAGAAAGCCACGGCUAACUACGUGCCAGCAGCCGCGGUAAUACGUAGGUGGCAAGCGUUGUCCGGAUUUAUUGGGCGUAAAGCGAGCGCAGGCGGUUUUUUAGGUCUGAUGUGAAAGCCUUCGGCUUAACCGGAGAAGUGCAUCGGAAACCGGGAGACUUGAGUGCAGAAGAGGACAGUGGAACUCCAUGUGUAGCGGUGAAAUGCGUAGAUAUAUGGAAGAACACCAGUGGCGAAGGCGGCUGUCUGGUCUGUAACUGACGCUGAGGCUCGAAAGC